CCCUACGGGGCGCACUUAUCCACGAACCACCAACAAAACUGAGAAACGUUCCCAACUGAAAGGUAUUCAUGAUGUGCCGGCUUCGCGUUUUGGUGGUGGACGACGAGGAGUAUGUUCGCGCCGCUAUUAUGCGUUGGCUUGAACUUCGUGGAUUCAGCGCGGAAUCCGCUCAGGACGGGGUGGACGCGGUAGAAAAGUGCCGGCAGAACACGUAUGACGCGGUAAUCAUGGACCUGGAAAUGCCUCGUAUGAGCGGAAUUGAGGCUAUCUCCAUCAUACAGCAGGAUUUCCCGAAGUUGCCCAUUGUGGUGCUCUCCGGGUAUGUGCAAGGGAUGCAUGAGGUGGCAUUGCGGGGAAUUGCCAAGGUUCUCCAGAAGCCCGUUCCUCUUCGCCAACUGGAAGCGGAAGUCCGACAGGUAGUCCUGGAUUCAGCUUCCGGGGGGGC
rnacentral:rRNA from 1 species